rnacentral:lncRNA from 1 species
UUGUCUUCUUCAAGGUUUCAGCCUUGAAGAAGACCAGUCCGCUUGUCGAAACGUCGUCUCCAGCGACACCCCUUGUUCACGAAUUUUUCUUCUCUUCAAGCUUCCAUGUUCCCCUGCACUUCUGCCCUUUUUGGAAUAAAGCGA